UGGGGAAUUUUGGACAAUGGGCGCAAGCCUGAUCCAGCCAUGCCGCGUGAGUGAAGAAGGCCUUCGGGUUGUAAAGCUCUUCGGAAGGGAAGAAAAGGCGGGCUCUAACAUUGCCUGUCGAUGACGGUACCGGUAGAAGAAGGACCGGCCUAAUACGUGCCAGCAACCGGGGUAAUACGUAGGGUGCGAGGGUUUAACGGAAUUACUGGGCGGAAAACCGGCGCAGGCGGUUUUGUAAGACAGAUGUGAAAUCCCCGGGCUUAACCUGGGAACUGCGUUUGUGACUGCAAGGCUGGAGUACGGCAGAGGGGGGUGGAAUUCCACGUGUAGCAGUGAAAUGCGUAGAGAUGUGGAGGAACACCGAUGGCGAAGGCAGCCCCCUGGGCCUGUACUGACGCUCAUGCACGAAAGCGUGGGGAGCAAACA
rnacentral:rRNA from 1 species